CCCGGUAAAUAAUUUUUUUUUUAGAAAAAUAUGGAUACUGGAUGUCUGAGUUAGCGACAUUUUGUUAGGGUUUCUUACUUUCUUUUCACUCUCAACUUCUCAAGUCUGCCGUUUUGUCUCUCCUCUCCUAGUAUCCUCCUCUCCUUUGAGUCUUCUCCUCUUCGUGUCUGAUUGUCUGGUGUCUCCCAGUCCCCGUCGACCGGCGACCGGCUGGUCUCCUCUCAACUCGCUUCUCCUCUUGUAACAUAUUCAAGGUAUGAAAGAAUUAGUUUCGGAGCAACCGACAAUUAUAAUUGAUGAGACGGUUGAAGUUCUUGAAGUUUUUGAUCUCACGACGGAAGAUAUAGAAUGAGCCUUAAAAAACUUGAAGUGGUGUUCACUCAAUGGUUUAAUGUACUUAACAGUUUGUAAACUAUAUUAUUUGAAUGUUUGUACUUUGUAAACUAUUUUAUCCCUCCCUUAAGAACUCUUGUUUAGAUGAAAAUUUUGGACUUGUGGUAUGUGGUUGCCUGCUUGUUUGUAGUUGAAGUUGAUGUCGCUGCCUCUGUACUCCGUAGGCUUGCUGCCCGACAUCUCACAUUUGGCAAGCAACUUGUUGAUUAUGAUUUUUGUAUACAGUGAGUCAACGUCUCAAGGUUACUUAUUAAUUUCAAUGGAUGUUUCAUGUUUGUAUACACUA